rnacentral:lncRNA from 1 species
AGAGUAUGGACCAGCCCUCCACAUCAACGGCGCUUGUUCCAGCGGAAAAGAUGGCUUCAGCACCGCCACCAGGAAAACCAAGGCGGGCUGCAUUUUCUGUUCCAGAUGAUGCUCCACCCCGGGAUGAUAUAAUGGGGAAGCUUCUCCUGGAAUACCGUCCUCAGUAAGUUUGUGGAAUUUAGAUGGAUUACAUAUCAAGUAAUGUUAAAUCAAACUAAUGGUAUGAUGUACAUCUUGUCCUGACAAUGAUAGUGGUGUUAAAACCCGAUCGGAUUGGUGAUGCAAUACUUAUUAGUUAAUGAUAAUGGUGUGCAGGUGGAUUGGAAGGUAUCAUGAACACGAACCCUUGCUGGAAGAUUUGGAGGAUGAGAAGCUUUCAAAAGAAGAGCAAACUAUGGCGUGGGAGUCCUUUCAGCAUGAAGAAUCUGUUCC